rnacentral:tRNA from 1 species
GGGGAGUGAAAGCAAUAAGGAAAAGGCAGGGCUUAGAGUAUCCCGCUAUGGACGGGAGGGUCAAGGGUUCGAGCCCCUUAUUCUCCACCA